UGCAACAUAGCUCAGUCAGUAGAGCAUGAGACUCUUAAUCUCAGGGUUGUGGGGUUGAGCACCACACUGGGCGAAA